rnacentral:rRNA from 1 species
AGAGUUUGAUCCUGGCUCAGGAUGAACGCUGGCGGCGUGCCUAAUACAUGCAAGUCGAACGAGUUCUCGUUGAUGAUCGGUGCUUGCACCGAGAUUCAACAUGGAACGAGUGGCGGACGGGUGAGUAACACGUGGGUAACCUGCCCUUAAGUGGGGGAUAACAUUUGGAAACAGAUGCUAAUACCGCAUAGAUCCAAGAACCGCAUGGUUCUUGGCUGAAAGAUGGCGUAAGCUAUCGCUUUUGGAUGGACCCGCGGCGUAUUAGCUAGUUGGUGAGGUAAUGGCUCACCAAGGCGAUGAUACGUAGCCGAACUGAGAGGUUGAUCGGCCACAUUGGGACUGAGACACGGCCCAAACUCCUACGGGAGGCAGCAGUAGGGAAUCUUCCACAAUGGACGCAAGUCUGAUGGAGCAACGCCGCGUGAGUGAAGAAGGCUUUCGGGUCGUAAAACUCUGUUGUUGGAGAAGAAUGGUCGGCAGAGUAACUGUUGUCGGCGUGACGGUAUCCAACCAGAAAGCCACGGCUAACUACGUGCCACAGCCGCGGUAAUACGUAGGUGGCAAGCGUUAUCCGGAUUUAUUGGGCGUAAAGCGAGCGCAGGCGGUUUUUUAAGUCUGAUGUGAAAGCCCUCGGCUUAACCGAGGAAGCGCAUCGGAAACUGGGAAACUUGAGUGCAGAAGAGGACAGUGGAACUCCAUGUGUAGCGGUGAAAUGCGUAGAUAUAUGGAAGAACACCAGUGGCGAAGGCGGCUGUCUGGUCUGUAACUGACGCUGAGGCUCGAAAGCAUGGGUAGCGAACAGGAUUAGAUACCCUGGUAGUCCAUGCCGUAAACGAUGAAUGCUAGGUGUUGGAGGGUUUCCGCCCUUCAGUGCCGCAGCUAACGCAUUAAGCAUUCCGCCUGGGGAGUACGACCGCAAGGUUGAAACUCAAAGGAAUUGACGGGGGCCCGCACAAGCGGUGGAGCAUGUGGUUUAAUUCGAAGCAACGCGAAGAACCUUACCAGGUCUUGACAUCUUUUGAUCACCUGAGAGAUCAGGUUUCCCCUUCGGGGGCAAAAUGACAGGUGGUGCAUGGUUGUCGUCAGCUCGUGUCGUGAGAUGUUGGGUUAAGUCCCGCAACGAGCGCAACCCUUAUGACUAGUUGCCAGCAUUUAGUUGGGCACUCUAGUAAGACUGCCGGUGACAAACCGGAGGAAGGUGGGGAUGACGUCAAAUCAUCAUGCCCCUUAUGACCUGGGCUACACACGUGCUACAAUGGAUGGUACAACGAGUUGCGAGACCGCGAGGUCAAGCUAAUCUCUUAAAGCCAUUCUCAGUUCGGACUGUAGGCUGCAACUCGCCUACACGAAGUCGGAAUCGCUAGUAAUCGCGGAUCAGCACGCCGCGGUGAAUACGUUCCCGGGCCUUGUACACACCGCCCGUCACACCAUGAGAGUUUGUAACACCCGAAGCCGGUGGCGUAACCCUUUUAGGGAGCGAGCCGUCUAAGGUGGGACAAAUGAUUAGGGUGAAGUCGUAACA